AACGAACGCUGGCGGCAUGCCUAACACAUGCAAGUCGAACGAGACCUUCGGGUCUAGUGGCGCACGGGUGCGUAACGCGUGGGAACCUGCCCUUCGGUUCGGAAUAACAGUGAGAAAUUACUGCUAAUACCGGAUGAUGUCUUCGGACCAAAGAUUUAUCGCCGAGGGAUGGGCCCGCGUAGGAUUAGGUAGUUGGUGGGGUAAUGGCCUACCAAGCCGACGAUCCUUAGCUGGUCUGAGAGGAUGAUCAGCCACACUGGGACUGAGACACGGCCCAGACUCCUACGGGAGGCAGCAGUGGGGAAUAUUGGACAAUGGGCGAAAGCCUGAUCCAGCAAUGCCGCGUGAGUGAUGAAGGCCUUAGGGUUGUAAAGCUCUUUUACCAGGGAUGAUAAUGACAGUACCUGGAGAAUAAGCUCCGGCUAACUCCGUGCCAGCCGCCGCCGUAAGAC
rnacentral:rRNA from 1 species